GGUUCAGUUACACUCGGGGUUUAAGGGUAAACUCUCGCGAGAUUUCCCGCGAGACUUGGCGCGAGACUUUGAUGACGCCUUCGCCUCGGUGUUAUAAACAUGGCAGUGUGUUAGCAGUGUAAGAGCAGACGUGGGAUGACGUAGAUCACUGCAGGUGUAGAUGUAUGCACCAUAUCUGACACCCUCCCACGGUACAUGGCCACUACGAACCGGGGAUUGGCCGGGUUCCUAGAUCGGGUU